rnacentral:rRNA from 1 species
AAAUUGAAGAGUUUGAUCAUGGCUCAGAUUGAACGCUGGCGGCAGGCCUAACACAUGCAAGUCGAGCGGUAACACAGGGAGCUUGCUCCUGGGUGACGAGCGGCGGACGGGUGAGUAAUGUCUGGGAAACUGCCUGAUGGAGGGGGAUAACUACUGGAAACGGUAGCUAAUACCGCAUAA